GCCUGUCCCGUCUGUUGCAUCGGCUUUGGCGAUUUCGGGCCAUUAUGGAGGAGCCCUACCUACUGUUGCUUUAGCUAGACGCGCAAUGGCACCUCGUCAGCCUGAGGUGGCCCGUCGACUACGAGUGGCUGGGUGUUUGCCGCUCAAAUCGAGGAACCUGCUGCCGCUAAUGAUGUCUUGACAGGUAUGGCUUAAUUCAAGCAAGCAGGUAUUUCGGC
rnacentral:lncRNA from 1 species